CCUACGGGAGGCAGCAGUGAGGAAUAUUGGACAAUGGGAGCAAUCCUGAUCCAGCAAUGCCGCGUGUGGGAUGRCGGGGCUUUGCCUUGUAAACCACUGUCGGACGGGACGAGAAGAGGUAAGAACCUCUGGGACGGUACCGUCAAAGGAAGGAUCGGCUAACUACGUGCCAGCAGCCGCGGUAAUACGUAGGAUCCAAGCGUUGUCCGGAUUUACUGGGUAUAAAGGGUGCGUAGGCGGCUUUUUGCGUCAGAGGUGAAAUCCACGGGCUUAACCCGUGGGGUGCCUUUGAAACGGGAAGGCUUGAGUAUGACAGAGGCGGAUGGAAUUCCUGGUGUAGCAGUGAAAUGCGUAGAUAUCAGGAGGAACACCGGUGGCGAAGGCGGUCCGCUGGGUCAUAACUGACGCUGAGGCACGAAAGCGUGGGGAUCAAACAGGAUUAGAUACCCUGGUAGUCCACGCCUUAAACGAUGUAUGCUUGGUGUUGGAACAGCAAUGUUUCAGUGCCGGAGGGAAUCUAUUAAGCAUACCACCUGGGGAGUACGAUCGCAAGGUUGAAACUCAAAKGAAUUGACGG
rnacentral:rRNA from 1 species